rnacentral:rRNA from 1 species
AUGUUGGGGCGCCCCUAUGUCUCGCUUAUAGUGAGACGAAGGAAACCCUCAUGUCAAGGGCAGUGCGAGGUGGGCAGGCCCAGAAGAUUCAAAUCCUUCGGCUGGUAUGAAGGGCAGAUCCGGUUCUUUGAGCCGAGGUGCCACCGUCUGAUAUAUCUUGCAAAGUGGACAUCGGUGGUACCACAACUUGAAGGUACGUGCGCUUGCUCGCGGACGCCCUUCACUUUAGGGUUUCUUGCACCGCCAGGGUCUCCUCCACUCGCCCUACUAACCUGCUCCGGUAGCAAGGUCAUCCUCGGCACCGGAAAGACAGCAAGCUCACUGCCCUUCUCACCAAGCAUCCAAAAUUCUCUCACCCAAGCAAUCUAUAGACAUCAACCUUGUGAGACUGCAACAAACUAUUGCCAAUGUACUAAGUCUUAUUCAGAGAUUGUCAAUAUUGUUGGGCGUGUCCUGCUCUCCCUCUUUUAUAUUUGGUUGCUUGGUCUCACACUGAAGGUGCUAGAUGUAAUGUGGACUCAGGGCCAGAACAGAGAAGAACCAGAGCAGCUAGACUCGGGUGAACGCAGCCAAAAGAACGCCGAUAACCGUAAGAAACAGAAGACAAAACAUAAAAUUGGAUCAAAAUCUUACUCGCAAGUAAGCUUUGAGAAGUUAUUCAAUGAUGUGCAUUCGACCGCAUACAAAGAGACUCUGAAAUGCAAGUCAUCACAGCCUUGUGGGUACGGAUACAUGGCCAAACCUUCAAUUGGUUCUCAAAGGUUUCAUAUCCAGGUUGAAGAGAAAGGUCAUGCUACAGCAGCCACCCAGCAGCAAAACUCUGAGCUCAGCCAGCAGGUCAACGAAUUACAAGAUCAACUACAAGCUGAACGUGCAAGCACACAAGAGAGGAUUAACUUGGAGUGUACUGAGAGAGAACAACUUGAGGAGAGGUUAAAAGAAGAGCAUGCUGAAAGGGAAAGAUUGUUGGAAGAGGAGCGAACAUCAAGACCGGAAUUUGAAAAAAACAUGAUGACAAAGUUUGUAGCAUUGAGCCAACAGAUGGGAACCCAACAGGAUCCAAAGAACUAG